CACGAAGGUAUUACGAUCAUUUAAUAUGUGAAUCCGACUUUCUUAUUCCACUUAUUUCAGUUCCUCCCCGUUUCUUCUGGAACGAACUUAAUUCUUCGUCUCUUUCACGUCUCUGCUCCGAGCUCUCCCUAUCAAACAACGAUGGAGACUAAAUUUGAGCCCUAGCUUUACUGUUUUCUUUCUUUCCCUCUCUAUGUAGACCUCACUAUACUAUUUUCCAUCAAUUUGAUACCAAAAGCAGCGACACUCUUUUUCUUUUUCUCCUCAAGGUUCCACCCUCAUAACAAAAACAAAAAAAUUAUCUUUCACCUUCCGCUCCCAAGACUCUUGCUAACAUUGUGAAUUCUGUUGAGAAGUGAAUAAGCAACUGAAAGGAAGAAGAUAAUUCUUGGGUACAUUUUGCAUGACGGCUAUAUUAUCUUUCCUCAUAGUUCAAAUGGUUGUGAGGGCUGAACUUGAAACUUUUGAGAAGGUGACCAUGGAAUUGGGAUAACUUGAAGUUCCUUUUUCCAAACAAGUUGUAGAACUAAAUGAUCUGCUUGUGUGAUUGCACAGAGGAUAAUCUAUAUAAUUACCUUUUAACACAUCAUCUGGUCUAUUGUUUUGGGUAUUAAGAAUCAGCUUGAAAUCUUUUUAGCUGGCCAUGAUAGUUCUAGAACAAUUGAAGAAUCGGCCUGAAGUAAUAAAAAAGCUGGAGAUUUCAUCUUUAUGUAAGAACUAGAAGGCAAGGAGGUACAUUUUGGGUGAACUCAACAACAUUUCCAGGAAACUUCCAAUAUGUAUAUUGCCAAUUUUAAUUUUUCCAUUAUAUGUUAUUAUCCGAUUUGCAAAAUACUUGCAUAGCUUCAGGAUUUUUAAAUGUGACGCACAGUGCAUAUGGAGUCAAAUCCCUUUGAGAUUGCAGGAGAUUUAGUUAUGCCAGCACUCAAACUAAAAAAAAAAUGUCACAACUGCUUGACCAUUAUAAGGUACUUUAUGCUGAAUGCAUCUUCUCUUUUGUAACAAUGGUUGUUAUAUUUACUGACUCACCACUCAAUAAGAAUUUUGUGUACUCGAUAGGUAAGAAUUCUUUUGAAGCAUAUAUUUUUAUUACAUUUCUUUCUAUUAUAAUUUUGUAGAGUGGCUCUAAACUUGGUAAUUUUUGGAACCAUCUCUUUCCUUUCGGAGAAAGAUUAAGUAGCUUGGCGUUUGUAAUGUUACUUUUUUCUUUUAAUAAAAUGAGAAAUUUAUUGAUAUGACUAAUUUACAUAAGAGGGGAGAUAAAUUAAACUUUACCUCCCUAAGAUACAUAUGUAAAUCAAAAGAGUGCACUUUAAGUGGUACAAGGUUAAUCCUUCGAUCCCCAUAAGCUUUAAAACUGAUUUUGGAGUGGCUUCUGCAAUAGAAGAUGUUGCAGUUAAUUAUCUUCAUGAAAAAUCCUCCUCCUGUUGCUUAUUGAAAUUUAUAUUAUAUGCACUUACUGUCUGCUCCACCAAGUUGAUUCACUGUUUCUACAAACAUCUGAUGAAGGUCUGGUGUCCAUUUCAAAUUUUGAUUAGAGGAAGUGCCAACUGAAUAUGUAAUUAUUGACUUCUUAAAAGGUGAUCAGAUGAGUAUGGCUUGUGGUUACUAUUGUUAGAAACGCCAUAUUAGUGCUUGUAUGUUUAAUUUCGAUAAUUUAAAACAGACGCCAAAUUAGAUUGUUAUUGGUGUUGCAGUUACGUCUAUGCUUUGUGAUGAGAUGAGUUUCAGAUAGCUGGUUGCUACAGUUCUACUGAGUGCCAGGAAAAGUACAUAUGGAGGGUGGUUUAGAUUCUAAACAGCCAAUUGACACUUUAUAUUUCCUCCUUUCACUCAGUAAUCAAGUAGUCUCAGCUGUUAAACUGAGCAACCAUUUUGCUGAUAUUAGGUUCAUCCGGCUACCAGCUACAAGGUAUGUUAAGACUACAGAUUUUACUUUGAGGUAGUGCUUUAUAUUUUAAUCUUCGAGCUUUGAAUUGGUGAACAAAGGAAUAUUACCUUUCCAGAAUGCCUCUGUUAUGUUAUAUUAGUUUCUCUGUAUGAAAAUAACUGAAGGUUACGUUCCAUUACUCUUUAAAUCUGUUUUUACUUUCUAGAGGGAGUCUAGGCAAUGCUUUUGAAGCUGAAAAGUCCUAUUAUUCGCCUUCAAUAGUUUUUGGCUAUGUUCCAUCGGAAGGUUAAUGAUUUGAUUUCAUUCCUCUCUUAGCUAUUGGCCCCUUCUAUUUGACUUGAUUAUUGGCUUGAUUUGAUCAUUUUUUUCAAUGGUUUACUGUUUCAGUCAUGAGUUCUAUGAUUCUUUUUUGUUAGUACAGAUAGGGGAAAAGAAGAUGCUAACUACUUUUGUUGCUUUGUGUUGCCUGUAUUAUAAUUAUUUGUAUGGCUGCUUGAUGUUCUGUUAUGUUUGAGUACCUGUAGAAAAGCAUCAAAAUUAUUUAAAAAAUGGCAAUGUCAGGAACAAAACAAAAAGGAUGCUUGCUGAAACACUAAUCUACGAGCUCAAAGUAUGUAUUUUUAAGGAAUCUAUAACUAGAUGUGGCUGAUGGCACAAUGCUUACACUAAGCAUUAUGCUUUGAAGUUUUAAGGUUCUCUCGUUAUAGUUCUUUCAUAUGAAUUUUCUUUAUUUAAAUUUUGAUUUUGAGUGUAUCAACUUACGGGAUCCUAAGUUUGCCCACUACCUAAACGAGUCAGUUAAGCAUUAUGUUUACCUCAAGGUGAGAUAUCUGAUAAUGUGCAUCAGUAUAAGACUCUAGAGGUCCAAAGCUUGUCACAACAGUUACUUGGUGACAAGGGAGUGAAAAUGCUUCUCAGAAAGUAAUGGCAGAGUCAUGAACCUGACAAGAUAUGUUCGAGUUAAUUGCUCUUGGUUUGGUUGAUAUUAUUUCUUUUGCGUCAAUGAAGUGUUGCAUAUGGUAAUUUAUUUUACUUUUGUAGUUUUAGAAGGAUUUUGAGGUUUUCCCUUUGAAAUUGGGUUUUUCAAAAUUUAAUUAAAGUCUUCUUUCAGAGAUGUACAGGCAAAUUGAAAGAUUGAAUCUAACAUGAAUAUUGACGAUUAAUCAGAAUCUUCUGCACUGACAGAGAUUAGAUUCAGAUGUUACGGUGACAGGUGCUCUUGAUUAGAGAAAGAUCAGGGGGUGCUAAUGAUGCACAUAAAAUAUCUGAUAAAAUGUCCUGCAAGAAAAUAGUGCCUACUGCAUCAGGAGAUGGCUCUACAAUAGUUGUUGAUACCUUGAAAUAAUACAUAGAGAUGAUAUAGAUAUGCUAGGUAUGUUCUCUUACUUUCUUAUACUACUUGGACCUUAGGGAGCUGCUCUAUUAUUAGCUAAAGAAAUAGAUAAGGAGAAGCUUAUUUUUCUGUUGUUGCAUGUCCAUGUCUUAGUUAUUUGCUUUGCAACUUGAACUAUUUUGAUGCGUGAUUUCCGUAGGAAUGUGCAACCGUGGUAGUAUCAAUUAUCCUCAAGUCCAACAGAAAUUUCACCUUAACUUCUAUUUGCAUACAAGCCAAUUGUUUGUGGAUCUCUUUUUCUUCUGAGAUUAAUUAUGAUUUGUGGGUCAAUACUCAGGACAUGUUUAUGUCAAAUAAUAAAAUGUAUAAUGGUAAUUAUUCUUGGUAUAAAGGAUGAAAAUAAAGAACUGAAAAAGAAUAAGAAAGACAAUAUUUAGACUACAUGGGAGUAAGAACCUUUCAUAUUUACAUGCUUGGACCAUUUCGCAUAUUAGAAUUGCAUUGAGAGUUGAUAAAAGUGCACAUAAAUCCUAUGCUGAGAAUUUUAAAAAUUAAUUGAAGAGUGCCCGUGUCAUAGUUCUUUCAUGUUUUAAAAGGUAAAAUAGGGGUGUGCUGCAAUUUUGAAAAGCUGAAAGACAAAAAGUGGAAGAACAAUGCUCCACAAGAAUGCUCAAAGAAUUCUUCCUCCAAUAGUCUUCACAUAAGCAAUAAACAAGACACAUCCUUAUGACCGAUUAGGCUCUUACUGGUACAAUUUUGCAGGUGGUGGUUCCUUUUAGGUAUCAGAUAUUCUCAAUAAUUUGACUUUUUCUUUUUGGAAUUUCGGAAGAUUCAAGUGACCAAAUUAAUGAUGCUAUUGAAAGGGUCCCAAGAGUUAAGUUUGUUGAUGGAGCUUUUGAGUACCCUCCGAGUUAUAAGUCAUUGUUGGAUAUUGUUUGUUGUGAAGUAUGUUUAUAUUGUCUCUUGUCAUCUGUAACUUUAUUUCCUUUCCUCUAUCUUAUUUUGUUGAAUUCUUUAACUGAAUUUGAGAAUUCAAUAAAGAACUAGAUCGAGGAACUCCAAAUUGCUUAAAAUGAAACUGAAAAUCCUCUCAAGGAAGAGCAAACUGAAUAUAGAGGUUUACAUCUUCUUUUAGAUUAGACUUUUGGUUGCUCUUAGUUUCAUGAGAAACAUUAGGAAUUCAUUAUCUGUUGCAAGAUAAAAGUCAAUUACAGUUACAUGCUCUUUUCUUUGCAGUUAGUUAGAGCUGCAUGUUCUUUUUAUGCUUUGUACCUGCGAUUAGAUUUAGACAUGGAUUUGAAUAAUGUCCUCUAGCUCUAUUGCAGAACACAUUGAUAUGAUUUUUUACUUCUAAUAGUUUUCAAGCAUCUAUUACCUUCUGGUAUGUUGCAUGCUUAGAUUAAAUUUACUUGGACUGUGAAAGAUUACUGUUUCCAUUUGUUGUAUCAUAAUUAAAACAAAUUUUAUAAGGAUGCUUAAUAACUAAGAUUGGUAGAUACGUUUUAGACUUUUAGUUGAUUUGGACUGUGAAGGAACCAAACUUAUGUUCAAACUUAAGUUGAGACAGUACCUUAUAUUGGGUAUCUAACAAUAAAUAGUUUUAUAUACUUGAGAUAUAGACGACUCAAACUACGAUGUGAAGUGUUUCAUAAUAACCGAUUAGAGAGGAAGAGUUGAUUGGAAACUCUCUCUUCGAUUUACCAUCUAACACUUCAUAUCUGCUGCUAAUCGAGUUCAUUUUGUGGGAACACGAUCAAGGGAUGGGUUUUUCUAUCCACAAUUGAUUUACUUCCUGAAAAAUCUUCUAAUGAGCUAAGGUGGCAGAAAGCACAACUUACGCAGGCAAAGAAGAAUCUGAGAUGCGUUUUUGAAGUCAUGAUGAUGAUGAGAAUGGUAGUGGGCAGGUUGUCUAUCAGUACUAGAAAAGACACGUUAAAGGCACUUGAUGCGGUGGAAAAUAUUGUAGCAGAUUUUGCUGUCAUGAAAGAGUUUCAUCCGGCAACAACUUACUUUUGUUAUCAACCACAACUACUGAAUUUGUUAUCAGUUACAACUACCAAAAUUCAAAUUCCAUGCCACUAGUUCCUCAAAUUUCUUCCACUCCUCAGUGUUCCCUCAUUCAAAGUGUGAGCACUUUGUUGGUGAUUCAACACUCAUAGGUGAGUGAUUUGGAGGAGCUUCAUUGUAUCAUUUAGUUGAGAUCUUUUUAUAUACUCAAUUUUGUGCUUCAAAGACCAUUGAUUGAAUGAGAAGGCAAAAAUUAUCACUUC